GUAGGUGGCAAGCGUUGUCCGGAAUUAUUGGGCGUAAAGCGCGCGCAGGCGGUCCUUUAAGUCUGAUGUGAAAGCCCACGGGCUCAACCGUGGAGGGUCAUUGGAAACUGGGGGACUUGAGUACAGAAGAGGAAAGCGGAACUCCAAGUGUAGCGGUGAAAUGCGUAGAGAUUUGGAGGAACACCAGUGGCGAAGGCGGCUUUCUGGUCUGUAACUGACGCUGAGGCGCGAAAGCGUGGGGAGCAAACAGGAUUAGAUACCCUGGUAGUCCACGCCGUAAACGAUGAGUGCUAAGUGUUAGGGGGUUUCCGCCCCUUAGUGCUGCAGCUAACGCAUUAAGCACUCCGCCUGGGGAGUACGGCCGCAAAGGCUGA
rnacentral:rRNA from 1 species